AUAUCCUGUCUGGGGAUUCCCUCAGAGAUUGGAGCCUCUCCCACCGUAUUGGCAAACCAAGCCUCGUGCUGCUCUUUCUGACCUGCAGAGAAGCCGGGCAAGUGUCCCAGGCGGCAGCGGGCGAAGCAGUCGCCGGAGGAGGAGGAGCGGUGCUUCGACACUUGCCUCCAGGACCAGCAGUGCCCCGGGGACGCCAAGUGCUGCUUCUCGGGCUGCGCCAUGAGCUGCGUCAACGCUCAGCAAGAUGUUUCCACUGAGACCAACUUGCAAUGAGUGUCUCCAUUGGGUCCGGCUGAUGCACUUGGAGGGUCACCACCUGGAGAUCAACCUGGCUGUUCUGCAAAAGGGGUUCGGGGUCAGUUAUUAUUGGGAUGAUUAGCAUGUUUGUUUAUACCCAGCGCAUGUGCAAUGACAUGCAAUACACAGACAGAGGUAAAGGCUUCCCCUUUCCAUCUCCGGUGUCUGGAGGCAAGGCUACACUCCAGCCAUGGGGAAGAGCUCUUGCUCCAUUUUUCCAUACCUAGGAGCCUGUUGUCUGUAGGCAUCUCCGAUUGUAUUGCCGGGGCGCCCUUUUACCUUCCCACCAAGGCGGUACCUCUUGAUCUACUCGCAUAACAUGCUUUUGAACUGCUAGGUUGGCAGGAGCUGGGGCCAACAGUGGGAGCUCAUCCCAACUCGCUGCUUUGAACGGCCAACCCCCCGGUCAGCAGAUUUCCUGCAGCUAGCGGUGUAACCCACUGCGCUACCGUGGCUCCAUAACACAAAAAUAUACAAACAUUCAAAUUGUAUUAAAUAUUGACAGUGUUAAAAAUAAUCAGGUGUGUGCCCAUGCAUGGCAAAGUGAUUAGGCCCCAAAGAAGCCAGGCAGGACUUCAGGGUAAGACCCUGAUAGACCCUUGGCAUUUUUUAUUUACUGUAUUUAUAUUCUGCCCUUCUCACCCCGAAGGGGACUCAGGAUCACAAUGCCCAUCUACAUUUUCAUUGUACAUUUGUAUUGUAUUUGCCUGGGCUUUGGCCCCAUAUAAGCUGCCCCAAGUUCCCCCGGGGAGAUGGAGGUGGGGUAUAAAAAUAUUAUUAUUAUUAAGGGCCAGGCUGUGGCGCAGCUGGCUAGUAACCAGCUGCAAUAAAUCACUACUGACCCAGAGGUCAUGAGUUCGAAGUCCGGGUCGGGUUAAGCUCCCGACCAUUAAAUAGCCCGGCUUGCUGUUGACCUAUGGAGCCCCGAAAGACAGUUGCAUCUGUCAAGUUGGGAAAUUUAGGUACGCUUUAUGCAGGAGGCUAAUUUGACUAAUUUACAACAUCAUAAAACUGCCAGCAAAACACGAGGAAAGGAAUGAGGAAGUACAGCCACUAGUGGACGGUGAAGCAACAGCUCCCCCUGUGGCCGGAAUCGUGAAGCUGGAAAAAAAAUGUUAAAUGCCUCUGUGUCUGUCUAUACUGUAUGUUGUUUUUCUGUUGGCAUUGAAUGUUUGCCAUAUAUGUGUUCAUUGUAAUCGGUCCUGAGUCCCCUUCGGGGUGAGAAAGAAGGGCGGAAUAUAAAUACUGUAAAUAUAAAUACUGUAAAUAAAUAUUAUUGUUGUUGUUGUUGUUAUUACAUGGCAAACAUUCAAUGCCAUUAGACAUAAAACAUAUAGACAGACACAUAGGUAAUUUAACAUUCCAGUUCCUGGCUUCAUGAGGGUAUGCUCGAUUCUGGCCACAGGGGGAGCUGCCACUUCAUCAUCCCCACCGAGUCCUUGAUGAUAGUACUUCCUCAUUCCUUUCUGCACACUGAUGGAAGUUUUUUUAUGGUGUUGUAAAUUAGUUAAAUUAGCCUCCCCGCAUAAAGCGGUACCUAAAUUUCCUACUUGACAGAUGCAACUGUCUUUCGAGCUGCUUAGGUCAACAGUGAGCUAGGCAGUGAGCUCAAUCCGACCCGGGCUGUGAUCUCAUGACCUCUUGGUCAGUAAUGAUUUAUUGGAGCUGGCUACUAACCACCUGAGGGGGGAAAGGAAGGGGCCUGAGGCUGUUAGGCUGUUAGGAAUUGUGGAAGUCCAAAACACCAGGAGGGAGGGCCGACGUUUGCCCAUGCCUGCUUUAUAGCAUUGAUUUGGAGUGUUGAAUUUCCAAUGUCCCCCAGGAGGGUUUUGAAAUAUUAGACAGUCCUUGCACAUGAUGAUUAUCCUGGAAGAUGAAGGGUCUCAAAACAGAUAUCCCUUGAGAGAUUGCAUAUCCUUAAGAUAUGCAGACGAGCCGCACAAAAUGCUGCUGGACAAGCUUAACCAGCAGAGCCAAGUGCCGAGGAGGGCUGUGAUGUCCGAAGCGCCAGCAUUCAAAUUGAUUUGAACCCGCAGCGGAGAGUUCUGCAGAUCCAUCACCAAAGGAACAGAGCGGGACCGCAGCGGACUAUUAUUAAAAGAUCUUUUUUUCUUCACUUUCCCUUCCCUGAACUAUGUAACAAAUCCCCCCAAUAAAAGUAGCCUUCAUUUUUAACAGUAA